AAUCGUUAUUCAAAUGUUAUAUUUAUCUUUUUUUGUUUUUAGGAAAGUCACGACUUCUUAUCGCAUUCUUACGUUAAACAUAAAAUAUUUAAAAUCGUUGUUUUACACAUUUAACCAUAAAUUAAAUAUUAUGUAUUUGUACAACCAAAUUCUAUUAAUUAUAAAACAGUAAUCAAAAUAUCGGUAGACAAGAGAUUUUAAAUUAAUAUAUAUCGAUGUCAUAAUUACGAUUAAAAGACAAAAACACCAUGCGCUAAAUCUGUUAAAAAUUGGAGUAUACAGCUCAUAUGACGCGACAUCAAGUCUGAUAAAGCUUAAUCAAAUGUGCUUUAGUCUCAUGUUAAUCAAUGUCUAUAUUAUUUCGGGUUCAUAUUUGAAAGUCCAGCGAAAUAUCUCGACAUGGGAAAUAUUACGAGAUUGAAGAUUUUGCGAUGCUAAUAUUGGACGAUCAAGGUACUUCUGACAAGACAUUAAAUCGCCAAUUUUAGCUGCAACGCUCAAUCUUAAGAUAACGUUUCUCGGAAUAACUUCAUGAUAUAUGAAUAUAUCAUAUAUGAAGAGUCAAUUAAAAUUAGAAUCAUAAUAUCAUUAAUUAUUAGUACUCGUUUCUAAUAACGUGUUAUUAAUAAAAGUUGAUUACUAUUGGAAAUUAACGUGUAAUUCCCAAGCGAUACAGAAUUAAUACGCAAACUCUUGCAAUUAGCAAUCUAUUCCCCUCCCCCUUCUCUCCAAAGUUUUUUUUUUUGCAAAUUCAUUUUUUCUGAGAGAGGAAUUUCCUAAGUAGUCCGAGACAAAGGAGCCCCGAGGGUUCAAGGUGAAAAGAGACACAAAGUGGAGACCUUUUCGUUGACCUUGUCCCUCGCGGCAAUUAAGCGAAGAGCACGUGGGUGUACCAAUUAUGAAAUUAUCCUUGUCCGGAACCUCGCUCGAGCGCGAUUAUCUCUCUGGUCCCUGGUGGGUUUAAUACGCGAGUUCGUCUAAUUACCGAACAAACAGACCGCGUGCUUCGGACGCGAUCGUUUUCCGUAUCCGUGACACGUUGCCUCGUUCCCACGCGGAUGCGACGUGUGACAGCGCUUUCCGGCAGUCAGCCUCCUAUCGAAUCAUUGCCGCUGUAACGAUUACGAAGCCGGUAAUACGUCGUCCUUAUAAUCACGAGGUACAAGAAUCUACGCCGUAUGCGCUCUCUAUACACUCUCUGUAUAAAUACUAAGUUCCUCUGUAAUCCUAAACGAUACAAGGUUUUACACCUAAUCUCUAUUUUCAAAAAUGUAUUUGUGACGUAAAAGAGACAAACGCAAUGUGUCACAUAAUUAUUAUAUUAUUAUAUAAUUGUAACUAGACAAUUUUUAGUCCUUUAUUUCCAGAAGCCUUAGAGUUUAAACAGCGAUAGAAUUACCGUCGCUUUUACGUGAUUUAAGAUAAGUUAACAUAAUUGUUUGCCUUUUCAUUAGUGGAACACUUAAGACUCCUGACGACUCAUUACGAAUAUUUAGUUUGAUGAUGUCAGAAGCGAAAAAUCGCAUAAUAAAAAUUCUUGCAAAAUAUAUAUAUAAAUAAACUUUUUUCAAUAAAACAAUAUAUAUAUAUAUAUAUAUUGCAUUUGAUAGAACAUAUUUUUAAAAUAUACUAGAAACUGCCCUUUUAUUUCGAAAUAGAAAAUUGAUUCAUUUCAAUUCAACAACGUUAUAAGUAGAGCUUUUAUAAAGUAUUUUAUAAAUCUAUUCUGUGACAAAAAAUAUUGUUUUACUAAAAAAUAUGUACAUUUUUAAAUAUUAAAAAAAAAUUUUCUUCAUGCAUUUCCUCGCUUCUGAUAUCAAGAUGCAAUUUGUAGCUAGAAGCCUUAUUUUUAUUAAAUAAAAAACAUAUAUAAUAAAAAAAUUAUUAUUGUUACACAUUAUAUGAAUUAUACAAGUUUGUGACCAAUUUUGUACUGCUGCAUAAAAAUGUCUAAUAAAACUACUCACAUAAUUCACUACAAUUUGCAUCGUGGUGAGACACGAGGUUAACUGAGAGCACCGAUCGACGACGAUAACGAUAUUCCACGUGUACGUCAAUCGACAACUACGCAUGAGCGUAGCUAAUUAAUUCAACAGGUGAUAUCUCAGUUUAAUUCGCGCCGCGCGAGGAGCCGACGCGGAAUCGACGCGCGCGAGCGUCGACGUAAUCUCUCCUGCAACAUCGUGUCGAUCGCGCCGAUUGUUUGCAUCGCGCUAAACGGGACCGUGGCCCCGUGUGAAUGCCGUGGCCAUGUCUUAAUUAUUGGCAGCUAAGCAAACGGCGCAAGGUCAAGCGAUCAUGCGAAACGUGCGCGAGAUCGAAUUGUUUGCCUUCGCCGAACGAAUGUCUCUUUAUUUAUCAUCGCCGAUCGCGGUUGCGUAUUUUAAGGUCGUCGCAAGGCGCGAAGUGAUCCACAUUGAAUUAUUUGCAAUUUAUUCGCGGCAAAUUGCAUCGAAAGAAAAGAGAAAUCUGAUCUGAUCUGAUCUGAUGAAAAAGAAAUAUAAAUAUUGAGAGUUAUGAUGAAAAUCUACGGUGCAAUACUCGACGAAUUGGAUUUAAUUUAAUUCCGGUAGAAAUACCUACAACUGAAAUCUUCGAAACGAUUUUUUUCGCCAACUUCUGGGACAGAAACUUACGAUGGGGGGCUUUAUUUUCUUUUUUCCCUCCAAGAAAAGAGUUCUUCUGUUAAAUGCAGGUUGAGUUUGCAGAAUCAUGGAAAAGUGUCUCGUUUUUUUUAUGUCAACUGUAUACUUUUUUUCAAUAUCAUCUUAAUUCUUGUGAUAGAACCAAAAAAAAGCAGCCAUUAAUAUUAAAAAUUAGAAGAUUGCCGAUUAUUUUCCCGGGGUAUUCUUAUGAUCGUGAAUUACAACCAACGACAAAAUAUGCUAAUCGUCGUAUUAUUCAAAUGUAUUACGAACAGCAUCCGCGAUUUUCAGACGACGAUUUUCGAAUCAUCAUCGUCUAAUGACAUAGCGCGAGAAAUGUUUAAUGUCCUCUCGUAUUUCUUAGAAAACGCGGGCAUUAAUCUUGAUCAAUUUCGGGGAAAAGUUGAGCAACAAUUCGGGUAAAUUUUAUCCCAAAUUAUAAUAUAGAAUAAUAAUUAUUAUUGUUAUAUAUUUCCGAUAAUAGACUCUUAAAUCCAAAUCCUGAAAAGCCCUUAAAAUAAAACAGAUGCCGUUAAUCUUAAAUAUUCUUAAUCGCCACACAUACACAAUAAUUGUAUUACACAAUUGUAUUUCCAUAUCACUUCAUUAACAUAUUCCGUGCCGCAUGGAUUAUCACGUUGAACUUUCCGUUCAGACAGUUUCCAGUUAUAAAAAGAAACGUAAUUAUAACAUAAUUUCUGAAAUCAUGCAUGGAUUGUAAUUUAACGUAUAAUGCAAUGUUGAUGCAUUCGGUCUUUUUUAUAAUAAUUUUUGUAGCUUUUGAUGAUUAUAAAUUGUAUAAUAUUUGUAUAUUAUAUUUAAAUUAUUUAAAAAUAGAUUUUACUUAACAAAUAAAAUAAAUAUAAAAAUCCCGUAGAUCACUGUACGGCAUAGCUAACAAGUCAUCUAAAAUUGGCAAACGUAGAACGUGUUAACUUCAGUCUCACCGCAUUUAAAAAGCAGAUAUCGCUUAACAAUGUAUGCUGAUGAACGAUCUUCGUUCCGCGUAAAGGGUUUUAAUGCGACAUAACCGAAUAUCAACUCCGCUGAGGAGUGGUUUAAACCGGUUUAGACUCGGAUUCAAAUCCAUCCUUAAUUGACGGGAAUCUUUAUUAAACUGCCUCCGGUUUUAUUCUGGAUCGGCUGUCAACCGGCCUCGGUUCGAAUUUGAAUAAACCAGUUUAAGGUGAACUAGACUAUGUUAUUAUUCAACCGUUAACCGUUAACCAGUGCUUUAAUCAAGAGAGUUGUAAGCUUACACAGAAGAAAAAUAGAUGAUUCAGCAAAGAAAAAUUAGAUGAUUCAGCAAAGAUUAGUGCGCGAGUUCAACAUCUACAGAAUCGCAAAAAGAGGAUCAUGUUACAGCGAAGAAAAACCGCAAAAAAGUGAACUUUUUGAAACGAAACGCGUCAACCUGCAGCUUAUGAUUUAUUUCAUAAUCGUAUCCCGAUGCCGCUUGCAGGGUCAUUUAUGUGCGAACAAUUGCGAAACAAUACGGAUCUACGGACAAUGAACAUUCCUGGCACAUCCUCAUCGAAACCGCCAUCCCGUCCCUCUCCCAGGAGAAAUAAUCCUACACCGAUGCCGCGCUAUUCUUAGCGAUCUACAAGCGAAACCGACAUUCUCGAGUGCAAUUGGAAUUGUAAACUUUCGCACGAAUGCGACCCCGAGCCAUGUGGUCCCCGCCUAUCCUCAUAUGUUUCGUUUUUUUUUCUUUAUAUUCUUUUUUUUUUUUACGGAAGUACUCAUCGCAAUCAGCGAAGCGUAGCGAGCUAUCCAUCAGCUGGCAUUAGCUUCACCAAAAUAUACAGGGAAAACGACGUUUUCAUUAACGUGCCUACUCGUGGCUGUCUGUUAAAUAUAUUCUGAUAUGAUUAUAAAUUAUUAUCUAUCGAGAGAAAAACGCAUAUUUAAAAAUCUCGUCUUGUAAGAAAGAGAAAAGUUGAACGCGUUCAAAGAACUCGUUGAAGUCUGUUCUAUUCUCGGCCACUGCUACCGCUUUUUGCCUUCUCCUAUCGCAUCAUUUCCCAUUAGGUAAGAUAAGACACGCGCUUAAUCAAGCGUUUCGACCGCGAAAUUCUCAAUAGCGACCUUUAAGAAAGCUCUAUCCUUAUCGUGUUCAUUGUUUUUUUUUUUAUCAAAUUGACAAAUGCUUAAAAUUAAUUUUUAAUAAAAAUCACACCUUUAAAAGUUUUUGCGAUUCAAAAUUCAUUUUCUAAAUUUAUUCAAGAAUGUCAGAAUAAAUUCUAGCAAUGUUAAAACUCCACCAUGUCUACAAUUAGCUCAACUGUGCGUCGCAUAAAGUUAUAAUAAAAAAUAAUAUACGAAAAAUGUAUGUUAUAUCAUUAUAUAUGUAACUGCGAAAUAGAUGCAAGUAACGGUGGCCAAUAAAUUAACCAACUUUAAAUUUGUAGCACUAUUCUGAAGAUGAAUGAAACAUCUCAAUAGAAACUGUAAGACUCUGUCGAUCAGCUGGUUCUUUGAUCCCAUCGUCAAUUAUAUUUAAUUUUUAGUUAAAAUCAAAGUUUGUAAUCGCGCGCCUUAGGCACAGGCCAGUACCUUAGAUUUCAUCUCUAUGAAUCAACGAUCCUAUGUGUUUUACGCGACGACUCUCCCGGCCUUUCGCUCGAUUCUUCGAACUUCAUCUUUAUAAACCGAAGGCCGAGUUUUAUUUCGCGAGGCAGAUUUUACGGGCUUUCGCCUUGCUCUUCAGAUUUCACCUCUACAUUCGAAGAUUAUACCUUGUUCCUCGAAGCGGUUCCUUUCUUUGUACAUCGUUUCUCUCUUCGAACUUUCGUUUCGUCUUAAAGACAAGGCACGAGCAAGGUUUACCUUCGCAAAACUAAUCAUCAAUCUUCUUUUCGUAACAAAUAGUUUCAAAGUGCUGACAAGAAAAUAAUCAAUCAAAAAAAAAAAAAAA